rnacentral:sRNA from 1 species
UCCUAGCCCGGAUUGCAAUGGCAUCCUUUUUCUUUGCAAAAGAAAAAGAUAUAAUGGAAAGCCGGAUUAAGC